rnacentral:rRNA from 1 species
AUUGAACGCUGGCGGCAUGCCUUACACAUGCAAGUCGAACGGCAGCGCGGGAGCAAUCCUGGCGGCGAGUGGCGAACGGGUGAGUAGUGCAUCGGAACGUGCCCAGUUGUGGGGGAUAGCCCGGCGAAAGCCGGAUUAAUACCGCAUGAGACCUGAGGGUGAAAGCGGGGGAUCGAAAGACCUCGCGCGACUGGAGCGGCCGAUGUCAGAUUAGGUAUUUGGUGGGGUAAGGGCCUACCAAGCCUGCGAUCUGUAGCUGGUCUGAGAGGACGACCAGCCACACUGGGACUGAGACACGGCCCAGACUCCUACGGGAGGCAGCAGUGGGGAAUUUUGGACAAUGGGCGCAAGCCUGAUCCAGCCAUGCCGCGUGCGGGAAGAAGGCCUUCGGGUUGUAAACCGCUUUUGUCGGGGAAGAAACGGCCUGGGCUAAUACCUUGGGCUAAUGACGGUACCCGAAGAAUAAGCACCGGCUAACUACGUGCCAGCAGCCGCCGUAA